GCUCGUCAGAUCUCGGCAGCUAAACCGGAUCAUGCCCGGAUAUUUUCUCCAAUGGGUGACCACCGCGAAAAAUUGUGGUGAAAUAAUAUAACCUCCACGACCCAGAGAAGUGCAUUGACAAAAGGAUCGCCUCCUCUCUCGCUCACGUUGCCAUACAGCCCAGCCUAGACACAACCCUAACCGUGUUGCACCGAUGGCGUCGACCGAGAGAGCCAACAACUAUCCGGCCACGCAAUUAUCGAGUGAAGUCGGCAGCGACGAAGGCGGCGAAGACGACAGCGACGGCGAGACGAGUCCACUGGCAGCCCGGAGCUCUCGCUCUCCGCUGCUUUUAUUCUACUCGGCGCGGCCAGGGGCUUCCAGAUGAGGUCUUACAUAACCCUUGUCUCAGU